AGCAGCCGCGGUAAUUCCAGCUCCAAUAGCGUAUAUUAAAGUUGUUGCAGUUAAAAAGCUCGUAGUUGAAUUUCGGGGUUAGUAGGUUGGUCAUGCCUCUGGUAUGUACUGGUCUCACUGAUUCCUCCUUCCUGAUGAACCUUAAUGCCAUUUAUUUGGUGUUUUGGGGAAUUUGGACUGUUACUUUGAAAAAUUAGAGUGUUUAAAGCAAGCUAACGCUUGAAUACAUUAGCAUGGAAUAAUGAAGUAGGACGUUCGAUCCUAUUUUGUUGGUUUCUAGGAUUGACGUAAUGAUUAAUAGGGAUAGUUGGGGGCAUUAGUAUUCAAUUGUCAGAGGUGAAAUUCUUGGAUUUAUUGAAGACUAACUACUGCGAAAGCAUUUGCCAAGGAUGUUUUCAUUAAUCAAGAACGAAAGUUAGGGGAUCGAAGACGAUCAGAUACCGUCGUAGUCUUAACCAUAAACUAUAGCCGACUAGGGAUCGGAUGAUGUAAUUUUUAA
rnacentral:rRNA from 1 species